CCUACGGGGCGCAGCAGUGGGGAAUAUUGCACAAUGGGCGCAAGCCUGACCCAGCAACGCCGCGUGAAGGAAGAAGGCUCUCGGGUUGUAAACUUCUUUUAUCAGGGACGAAGCAAGUGACGGUACCUGAUGAAUAAGCCACGGCUAACUACGUGCCAGCAGCCGCGGUAAUACGUAGGUGGCAAGCGUUAUCCGGAUUUACUGGGUGUAAAGGGCGUGUAGGCGGGAAAGCAAGUCAGAUGUGAAAACCAUGGGCUCAACCUGUGGCCUGCAUUUGAAACUGUUUUUCUUGAGUACUGGAGAGGCAGACGGAAUUCCUAGUGUAGCGGUGAAAUGCGUAGAUAUUAGGAGGAACACCAGUGGCGAAGGCGGUGUGCUGGACAGCAACUGACGCUGAGGCGCGAAAGCGUGGGGAGCAAACAGGAUUAAUACCCUUGUAGUC
rnacentral:rRNA from 1 species